UUUAAUAAGCAAUAUUAUGCUGUAAUUUUCGUCAUGUCUCACCGUUUGCAUAUACCCGUCCAUGCCCCUUAUUGAUCGGGCUGAUCAUGUUCACGUUGCAUUUGGAAGCCGUCAGUGGACUGACCCAAGUCCUCUGUAUGCAUGUGGCCUGCUGUCGGGUGAUGCAGCUACCCGGUGGCAGGCCUCGGCGUCCCAUGCCCUGCGGUCCUGACGUCGUGUCUGCUGCAUCAUUCACGUUCCACGACCGCGGCACUGGAACUCCUUCUUCUUCUGCCUCCACUCCGGUAGAGUGCAAACAGAAUAAGUGGGACCAUAUUAUGUAGAUAUAACUCGACAAUGACUACGUACGUGUACUCCCAAGCCCAAGCGACCCUGCUUUUAGUUCAUAAAUGGAUAGAAUAAGAUACUUUAAGAUUUAAUACGCCCAAUACCUGUCACCUCCUCCAAAAAGGGGAUAUCUUAUAUUAUAAUGUAUUAGUUUUAAGGUUGAUUCUGCAUGCAUAUACUUAAUAUAAACGGUUUAGUCUAGA